rnacentral:rRNA from 1 species
CCUACGGGUGGCAGCAGUAGGGAAUCUUCCACAAUGGGCGAAAGCCUGAUGGAGCAACGCCGCGUGGGUGAAGAAGGUUUUCGGAUCGUAAAACCCUGUUGUCAGAGAAGAAAGUGCGUGAGAGUAACUGUUCACGUGUCGACGGUAUCUAACCAGCAAGCGCCGGCUAACUACGUGCCAGCAGCCGCGGUAACACGUAGGUGGCAAGCGUUAUCCGGAUUUAUUGGGCGUAAAGGGAACGGAGGCGGUCUUUUAAGUCUGAUGUGAAAGCCUUCGGCUUAACCGGAGUAGUGCAUUGGAAACUGUGAGACUUGAGUGCAGAAGAGGAAAGUGGAACUCCAGGUGUAGCGGUGAAAUGCGUAGAUAUAUGGAGGAACACCAGUGGCGAAGGCGGCUUUCUGGUCUGUAACUGACGCUGAGGUUCGAAAGCGUGGGUAGCAAACAGGAUUAGAUACCCUAGUAGUC